rnacentral:rRNA from 2 species
GGAUCCAGACUUUGAUCCUGGCUCAGGAUGAACGCUAGCUACAGGCUUAACACAUGCAAGUCGAGGGGCAGCGAUGAAGAAAGCUUGCUUUCUUCAGGCGGCGACCGGCGCACGGGUGAGUAACGCGUAUCGAACCUGCCUCAUACUCAGGAAUAGCCUUGCGAAAGUAAGAUUAAUGCCCGAUGUUAUUAGGAUAUCACAUGAUGUUUUAAUUAAAGAUUUAUCGGUAUGAGAUGGCGAUGCGUCCCAUUAGCUUGUUGGCGGGGUAACGGCCCACCAAGGCAUCGAUGGGUAGGGGUUCUGAGAGGAAGGUCCCCCACAUUGGAACUGAGACACGGUCCAAACUCCUACGGGAGGCAGCAGUGAGGAAUAUUGGUCAAUGGACGCAAGUCUGAACCAGCCAAGUAGCGUGCAGGAAGACGGCCCUCUGGGUUGUAAACUGCUUUUAGUUGGGAAUAAAGUGCAUCACGUGUGAUGUUUUGUAUGUACCAUCAGAAAAAGGACCGGCUAAUUCCGUGCCAGCAGCCGCGGUAAUACGGAAGGUCCAGGCGUUAUCCGGAUUUAUUGGGUUUAAAGGGAGCGCAGGCGGACCUUUAAGUCAGCUGUGAAAUACGGCGGCUCAACCGUCGAACUGCAGUUGAUACUGGAGGUCUUGAGUGCACACAGGGAUACUGGAAUUCAUGGUGUAGCGGUGAAAUGCUCAGAUAUCAUGAAGAACUCCGAUCGCGAAGGCAGGUAUCCGGGGUGCAACUGACGCUGAGGCUCGAAAGUGCGGGUAUCAAACAGGAUUAGAUACCCUGGUAGUCCGCACAGUAAACGAUGAAUACUCGCGAUUUGCGAUACACAGUAAGUCGCCAAGCGAAAGCGUUAAGUAUUCCACCUGGGGAGUACGCCGGCAACGGUGCAACUCAAAUGAAUUGACGG